UACGGAGGGUGCGAGCGUUGUCCGGAAUCACUGGGCGUAAAGGGCGCGUAGGCGGCGCGGCUAGUCGGCGGUGAAAGCCCGGAGCUCAACUCCGGGUCGGCCGUCGAUACCUCCGGGCUUGAGCACUGUAGAGGCAGAUGGAAUUCCGGGUGUAGCGGUGGAAUGCGUAGAGAUCCGGAAGAACACCGGUGGCGAAGGCGGUCUGCUGGGCAGUUGCUGACGCUGAUGCGCGACAGCGUGGGGAGCAAACAGG
rnacentral:rRNA from 1 species